GAUGAACGCUGGCGGCGUGCUUAACACAUGCAAGUCGAACGAUGAAAGCGGGAGCUUGCUCCUGCUGGAUUAGUGGCGAACGGGUGAGUAACACGUGAGCAAUCUGCCCCGAACUCUGGGAUAAGCGUUGGAAACGACGUCUAAUACCGGAUACGACGCGCGAAGGCAUCUUCUGCGCGUGGAAAGAAUUUCGGUUCGGGAUGAGCUCGCGGCCUAUCAGCUAGUUGGUGAGGUAACGGCCCACCAAGGCGACGACGGGUAGCCGGCCUGAGAGGGUGACCGGCCACACUGGGACUGAGACACGGCCCAGACUCCUACGGGAGGCAGCAGUGGGGAAUAUUGCACAAUGGGCGCAAGCCUGAUGCAGCAACGCCGCGUGAGGGACGACGGCCUUCGGGUUGUAAACCUCUUUUAGCAGGGAAGAAGCGAAAGUGACGGUACCUGCAGAAAAAGCACCGGCUAACUACGUGCCAGCCGCCGCCGUAAGAC
rnacentral:rRNA from 1 species